UCUUCACUCUGGCGGCGUGCCUAAUACAUGCAAGUCGAGCGAACGGACGAGAAGCUUGCUUCUCUGAUGUUAGCGGCGGACGGGUGAGUAACACGUGGAUAACCUACCUAUAAGACUGGGAUAACUUCGGGAAACCGGAGCUAAUACCGGAUAAUAUUUUGAACCGCAUGGUUCAAAAGUGAAAGACGGUCUUGCUGUCACUUAUAGAUGGAUCCGCGCUGCAUUAGCUAGUUGGUAAGGUAACGGCUUACCAAGGCAACGAUGCAUAGCCGACCUGAGAGGGUGAUCGGCCACACUGGAACUGAGACACGGUCCAGACUCCUACGGGAGGCAGCAGUAGGGAAUCUUCCGCAAUGGGCGAAAGCCUGACGGAGCAACGCCGCGUGAGUGAUGAAGGUCUUCGGAUCGUAAAACUCUGUUAUUAGGGAAGAACAUAUGUGUAAGUAACUGUGCACAUCUUGACGGUACCUAAUCAGAAAGCCACGGCUAACUACGUG
rnacentral:rRNA from 1 species